UUAGAUCAACAUGGUUUGACUUUAAGCGCUCGCGUAUCAAUACAAAAUUGUCUUUAUUGAUUGACAUUUAUCGAUUCUAUAACCAACUACGAUUCAGAUGAUCAAAACAAACAGAUCGAUUAGUUAACUUCCGUUUAGAAAACGUGGAAAGGCUAGUUAGCUUAAAAAGUAUCAGUUGAAUAUCCAAAGUUGCAUUACUUUCGUGAUCACUUUAUUUGGUCGAUAUCAAGUUCACUGUAAGUCUAGAAUGAAAGUUAUAUUGUUAUAUGAAGUAUAUUUACCAAUCCUAUAAACCAUUUACAACAGGUUAGCGAAGAUCACAGUAAAUGGUCAAUUUACCGUUUAUCCAAUUAUUUGGAAGGAGUUGUAAUCGAUGCUAACAACACUGAGUUGUUCUCAAACUAACAGUUAGCCAAAAGAUUACUGACACAUUUCGAACCGCUAGUACUCAGUAAGAAGUUGAAGUUGUCGAACUUAAUUUUGAGUCUCGAGGAAAAUCGGACUACAAAAUAGUAACAAACUCAAAAUUAAAGCUACUAGUACUGCGGAUCAUAACCUCAAAAUGGAUCCUGAUACUAUUUGUAAUGUCGACCACAACUGUGCUGCAUGCUCUAAGGCGGAUGAUGCACAAACCAUGGUGGCCUGUGACUCCUGCUCUAUUUGGUGGCACUAUAGUUGCGCGGGCGUCAGUUCGUCUAUCGUCGACAAACCUUGGAGAUGCAAAAAUUGCACAUCAGCUACUGCAAAAGCCGGAGUGCAAACCUCGAAAGCUACAUCUCUGCCUCCAGUAAAGCCGAUGUCAGUUAAAUCAUCCGGAUUGAGUGCAAGGCUCCGACUGCAGCAAUUAGAAGAAACGCAGGCACUCGAGGAUCGGCUUAGGAAGCAACAGGCAGAGAGCGAAAGGUCGUUUUUAACAAAGAAGCAUCAGCUACAAAUUGAAAUGGAAGAAGAGGAGCAAGCAGUCGGUGGCAGCGUUAUAAGCUUCGGAAGUCGCCGUGGACGUGAAUUGGUGGAUAAGUGGAU